UAUAAUUCAACUGUACUGAUAAUGGAACAAACAAUUUAUUGAAAAACAAAAAUGUUACAUUUUAGAUUAACAUUUGUCGUAGUUUUGAAUACAGAGCAAAGGUGCAGGAACUUACAAGACACUUUUGAACAUUAUAUUAUUGAUGGGGCCACAAUCUCCACUCUCAACCACAUUUGCAAACUUCCAACUUCAUGAACUUGCAAGUGUUCAUCUUUGUUUUUUUUUGACAGAAAGACUGUAAAGGAACCCCUACAGUAUAAUUGGUGCAACAAACCCAAAUUGCAAGUACCAUGCCUUGAACCUGGGUGGGUGGGAAGGCAUCAGCCCCUUCCCACCACUAGGCUAUGCCUUAGUCUGCGUGUUCAUCUUUGUUGCUGCCAUAGGCCAUUCUUCUUUUCCUACAUAAGAGAAGAUGCUCUUCUAACAAACAACCAACACUCAAAACUCGGACAAAACUCGAUAUAGCAAAUAAUUGAAAUACUAAGGUGAUAAAACUAGAACUAGAUCAUCUCAAUUGGCAGCAUACAGGAACAUACAUCACACUAACUGAACAAGCAAGGGGUUCAAGAAAUCAGCGAGGGAAGAGGUGAGAUAAUGGAGUACAGAACAUAAAUUUGGCUUCUGGAGCUUGGUGUUGCAGCAGUCUAAGACGUGGCUUUGAAGAUGGAGAAGAACAGGAACAUGUAGAUGCAAGAGACGAUCAGCAGCGGGUGUUGACAGAGUUCAGCAGCAAGCUGUCAUUGGGGAAGAGCAGCGUCGUCAUUGGAGAGGAGGUAGAAAGUUUAAAUUGUGCUGCAAAAAGGCUCUAAAUACUAAAUGAAUAAAUGUUCUAUCAAUUAUCUACAAGGAAAGAAAACAUGUACGAGAACAAAUAAUCAUUCUCAGGUGGUUAGUCAAAAUAUACAUGAAAGACACCUUCUAUUCUGUUCUCAGGUGGUUAGGGAUAGCAAUAUAUGGACAAGGAUGCCGCCAAACACACCAAGCAUGAUUUAUUGAACAUGUGCCCAUAUGGUUACCCACAGAAGAGUUGACACAUGAUAACAAUAUAUGGAAAAAUAAAGCAUUGUGUACCUUCCUGCUUACAAGCAGCAAUCCCUCCCCAUGGUCAUCCUUCCAUAGUUACUUGACCUCCAAAAAGAUAGAUCCAUAGUUACUUGACCUCCAAAAAGACAGAUCUGAGAACACAAAUUACAUUAGUGAUCCAUAAUCCACCAUAUUAUAUAGAAGCAUAAUUUCUAACUCAUUCUGCAGGGCCAUACAUCUUUCCCUACAUAAGGGAACAUGUUUUUUCAACAAACUACCCAUACUGGGAGGUCAAAUGAAACUGAAUGCAACUUACCAACACGCUUUUGGUCUGAAUAAAUGAUCAUGAGCCACUGCAGAAACAUAG
rnacentral:lncRNA from 1 species